rnacentral:rRNA from 1 species
UAAUACCGAAGGUGCAAGCGUUAUCCGGAUUCACUGGGUUUAAAGGGUGCNUANGUGGACUANUAANUCAGUGGUGAAAUCUCCGGGCUUAACUCGGAGACUGCCAUUGAUACUAUCUGUCUUGAAUAUCCUGGAGGUGAGCGGAAUAUGUCAUGUANCGGUGAAAUGCCUAGAUAUGACAUACGAACACCAAUUGCGAAGGCNGCUCACUACGGGGUUAUUGACACUGAGGCACGAAAGCGUGGGGAUCAAACNGGAUUAGAUACCCUGCGUAGUCCACCGCCCUAAACGAAGGGAUACUCGACAUCANCGAUACACUGUUGGUGUCUGAACGAAAAGCAUUAAGUUUCCCCACCCUGGGGAAGUUCGAACCGCCAAGGUUGAAAACCUCCAAACGAAUUGACCGGGGGUCCGCCCACAAGCGCGUGGG